CCUACGGGGGGCAGCAGUGGGGAAUAUUGCACAAUGGGGGAAACCCUGAUGCAGCGACGCCGCGUGAGUGAAGAAGUAUUUCGGUAUGUAAAGCUCUAUCAGCAGGGAAGAAAAUGACGGUACCUGAGUAAGAAGCCCCGGCUAACUACGUGCCAGCAGCCGCGGUAAUACGGAGGGGGCAAGCGUUAUCCGGAUUUACUGGGUGUAAAGGGAGCGUAGACGGCAGCACAAGUCUGGAGUGAAAUGCCGGGGCUUAACCCCGGAACUGCUUUGGAAACUGUGCAGCUAGAGUGCAGGAGAGGUAAGUGGAAUUCCUUGUGUAGCGGUGACAUGCGUCGAUAUUAGGAGGAACACCAGUGGCGAAGGCGGCUUACUGGACUGUAACUGACGUUGCGGCUCGAAAGCGUGGGGAGCAAACAGGAUUAGAUACCCUUGUAGUC
rnacentral:rRNA from 1 species